CUCUGUGACUCCUACGGGAGGCAGCAGUGGGGAAUAUUGCACAAUGGGCGCAAGCCUGAUGCAGCCAUGCCGCGUGUGUGAAGAAGGCCUUCGGGUUGUAAAGCACUUUCAGUUGUGAGGAAGGUGGUGUCGUUAAUAGCGGCAUCAUUUGACGUUAGCAACAGAAGAAGCACCGGCUAACUCCGUGCCAGCAGCCGCGGUAAUACGGAGGGUGCGAGCGUUAAUCGGAAUUACUGGGCGUAAAGCGCAUGCAGGUGGUUUGUUAAGUCAGAUGUGAAAGCCCCGGGGCUCAACCUCGGAACUGCAUUUGAAACUGGCAGACUAGAGUACUGUAGAGGGGGUAGAAUUUCAGGUGUAGCGGUGAAAUGCGUAGAGAUCUGAAGGAAUACCGGUGGCGAAGGCGGCCCCCUGGACAGAUACUGACGCUGAGGCACGAAAGCGUGGGGAGCGAACAGGAUUAGAUACCCUGGUAG
rnacentral:rRNA from 1 species